GAGUUUGAUCAUGGCUCAGAGUGAACGCUGGCGGUAGGCCUAACACAUGCAAGUCGAACGGCAGCACAGUAAGAGCUUGCUCUUAUGGGUGGCGAGUGGCGGACGGGUGAGGAAUACAUCGGAAUCUACUUUUUCGUGGGGGAUAACGUAGGGAAACUUACGCUAAUACCGCAUACGACCUACGGGUGAAAGCAGGGGAUCUUCGGACCUUGCGCGAUUGAAUGAGCCGAUGUCGGAUUAGCUAGUUGGCGGGUAAAGGCCCACCAAGGCGACGAUCCGUAGCUGGUCUGAGAGGAUGAUCAGCCACACUGGAACUGAGACACGGUCCAGACUCCUACGGGAGGCAGCAGUGGGGAAUAUUGGACAAUGGGCGCAAGCCUGAUCCAGCCAUACCGCGUGGGUGAAGAAGGCCUCGGUUGUAAG
rnacentral:rRNA from 1 species